UCCGAGUUGACCCCGGCAGUCUCAUAUGAGUUCCCACCAUUACGUGGUGGCAACAUACGACGAGGGUUGCGCUCGUUGCGGGACUUAACCCAACAUCUCACGACACGAGCUGACGACAACCAUGCACCACCUGUAACCGAGUGUCCAAAGAGUUCCACAUUUCUGCGGCGUUCUCGGUUAUGUCAAGCCUUGGUAAGGUGGGGAUGACGUAGCUAAGCCUUC
rnacentral:misc_RNA from 1 species